rnacentral:rRNA from 1 species
CAUUAAGGAACUGUGGGCUCAGCCUUCGGGCGCCCCGUCCAACACACACACACACUUUUUUAAUCCGUGAACUGUCCGUUGGGGCCCGCAAGGGCUUCGGCGUCAUCUUAUAAACCCUGUAAAAAAACCCUGAAUGUGUAAUCGCGAGAGCGAACCAAUACAACUUUCAACAACGGAUCUCUUGGCUCCCCCAUCGAUGAAGAACGCAGCGAAAUGCGAUAAGUAAUGUGAAUUGCAGAAUUCAGUGAAUCAUCGAAUCUUUGAACGCACCUUGCGCCCCUUGGUAUUCCGAGGGGCAUGUCUGUCUGAGCGUCGUUUAACCCUCAAUCUCCUCAUUUGCUCUUGCGGGCUUAUUGGGGCUGAUUGGAUCGUGAGCUCUGCAGGGCCUCUGGGUCCGGCUGGCUUGAAAUGGAUCAGUGGUAACUUGGUGGCCUGUCGAAAGCUACUGGGACCCGGCGUGAUAGUAAAAUGUCUUCGUCUGGUAUUCCAAUGGUGAUUAGAGGGGGCUUGUACAGGUCCGCUUGCAAACGAAUAACUCUCAACCUUGACCUCAGAUCAGGCAGGACUACCC